UACGUAGGUGGCAAGCGUUGUCCGGAUUUAUUGGGUUUAAAGGGUGCGUAGGUGGUCUAUUAAGUCAGUGCUGAAAUAUCCCGGCUUAACCGGGAGGGUGGCAUUGAUACUGAUGGACUUGAGUGGAGUCGAAGUAGGCGGAAUUGACGGUGUAGCGGUGAAAUGCUUAGAUAUCGUCAAGAACACCUAUAGCGAAGGCAGCUUACUGGGCUGUAACUGACGCUGAGGCACGAAAGUGUGGGGAUCAAACAGG
rnacentral:rRNA from 1 species